UGUGUCUGUGUGUAUAUAUAUUAAAUAGGAUUAUACCUAAGGUUCGGAAUUAUUGUAGGCUUAAUUUUAUCUUAUUAUAUUAAUUAGUCCUUUUCUAAAUUCUUCUAAAUAUUGUACCAAAGUCGUGAACUUUAGUCCAUUCAAAUGUUUCCCUAUCUGUCCAUAAUUUUAUGUCUAGUAUAGAUGUGGCUUGGUUUCAAGUUGAAAGAAGGGUGGGCCAGCCAUAUUUCUAUGAACAAAUAAGCAAUGUCUUCCCCAAUCAUGUUGGUUUUCAAGUUUCAAGUGAUCAACUUAUCCACUAUUCCACUUCACCUCAAAAUCAGUUUAGAAUAGAAGCAUGCAUGUUUG
rnacentral:misc_RNA from 1 species